GUGGUCAGGUAGAGAAUACCAAGGCGCUUGAGAGAACUCGGGUGAAGGAACUAGGCAAAAUGGUGCCGUAACUUCGGGAGAAGGCACGCUGAUAUGUAGGUGAAGUGAUUUACUCAUGGAGCUGAAAUCAGUCGAAGAUACCAGCUGGCUGCAACUGUUUAUUAAAAACACAGCACUGUGCAAACACGAAAGUGGACGUAUACGGUGUGACGCCUGCCCGGUGCCGGAAGGUUAAUUGAUGGGUUAUCCGUAAGGAGAAGCUCUUGAUCGAAGCCCCGGUAAACGGCGGCCGUAACUAUAACGGUCCUAAGGUAGCGAAAUUCCUUGUCGGGUAAGUUCCGACCUGCACGAAUGGCGUAAUGAUGGCCAGGCUGUCUCCACCCGAGACUCAGUGAAAUUGAACUCGCUGUGAAGAUGCAGUGUACCCGCGGCAAGACGGAAAGACCCGUGAACCUUUACUAUAGCUUGACACUGAACACUGGUCCUUGAUGUGUAGGAUAGGUGGGAGGCUUUGAAGUGUGGACGCCAGUCUGCAUGGAGCCGACCUUGAAAUACCACCCUUUAAUGGCUGGUGUUCUAACGUGGGCCCGUGAUCCGGGUUGCGGACAGUGUCUGGUGGGUAGUUUGACUGGGGCGGUCUCCUCCAAAGAGUAACGGAGGAGCACGAAGGUUAGCUAAUCCUGGUCGGACAUCAGGAGGUUAGUGCAAAGGCAUAAGCUAGCUUGACUGCGAGAGUGACGGCUCGAGCAGGUGCGAAAGCAGGUCUUAGUGAUCCGGUGGUUCUGAAUGGAAGGGCCAUCGCUCAACGGAUAAAAGGUACUCCGGGGAUAACAGGCUGAUACCGCCCAAGAGUUCAUAUCGACGGCGGUGUUUGGCACCUCGAUGUCGGCUCAUCACAUCCUGGGGCUGAAGUAGGUCCCAAGGGUAUGGCUGUUCGCCAUUUAAAGUGGUACGCGAGCUGGGUUUAGAACGUCGUGAGACAGUUCGGUCCCUAUCUGCCGUGGGCGCUGGAGAAUUGAGGGGGGCUGCUCCUAGUACGAGAGGACCGGAGUGGACGCAUCACUGGUGUUCGGGUUGUCAUGCCAAUGGCACUGCCCGGUAGCUAAAUGCGGAAGAGAUAAGUGCUGAAAGCAUCUAAGCACGAAACUUGCCCCGAGAUGAGUUCUCCCUGACCCUUUAAGGGUCCUGAAGGAACGUUGAAGACGACGACGUUGAUAGGCCGGGUGUGUAAGCGCAGCGAUGCGUUGAGCUAACCGGUACUAAUGAACCGUGAGGCUUAACCUU
rnacentral:rRNA from 1 species